rfam:Salmo salar isolate Sally breed double haploid chromosome ssa08, whole genome shotgun sequence.
GAAUGCAACAACUGUAAGUCGCUCUGGAUAAGAGCGUCUGUUAAAUGACUUAAA